UCCCUGUCUGGAUGCAGUGAUCUAGUGAA
rnacentral:piRNA from 1 species